rnacentral:lncRNA from 1 species
GGGGUGUCCGGUUCACCGUUAAGGCCAAGAACUCCUUCAAGUCAUCAGUGACCUGGCCUUCGUACUUUUUUCACAUGGGCAGGGAGCAGUUCCCACCAGCUUUUUUCUUCCCUUUUUUUUUUUGUUUUUUGCUCUGAUAAUUUCAAAAUCCAAUCUUUUGAUCGCACAUUUAAGUAUCCUCUCCACCGUAAAUAAUCUAAAAUCUGAAGAAGAUUUGGCAAAAAGAAUCAGAUUUAUUUAGAA